UGGUAAGGUAAGUUCCUGGUAAAAUUGGGCAGCUUAACUGUCCUUAUGCUAGGAAUACUGCUUUACUAGAGGGCGGGAGAGGUCUGAGGUACUGCGGGGGUAGGGGUGAAAUCUUAUAAUCCUCGCAGGACCACCAGUGGCGAAGGCGUCAGACUGGAACGCGCCUGACGGUGAGGGACGAAAGCCAGGGGAGCGAACCGGAUUAGAUACCCGGGUAGUCCUGGCCGUAAACGAUGCAUACUAGGCAAUGGUGCGGCUAUGAGCCGCAUCAGUACCGUAGGGAAACCGUUAAGUGUGCCGCCUGGGAA
rnacentral:rRNA from 1 species